CCCCCCCCCCCCCCCCCCCCCCCCCCCCCCCCCCCCCCCCCCCCCCCCCCCCCCCCCCCCCCCCCCCCCCCCGUCCGGCUCGGGCGGCAGCCGGGCCCUGGCGCGGGCAGUGCCAGCCCGUGGGCGCUGCAGCGCCGCUGCUGCACCUUCCCGGCCCUGGCCCUGCUGCUCGCCGCGCUCUGCCUCGGCCGCAGCCUGCGCAGAAAAGCCCAGAGGCAGCAGAGACAGAAGGCCUGGACACGCCCGGCCUGGCCAAGGAGCUGCUGCCUGGCUGACCGCUCCCGCCUCAGGGACGAGGGGAUCGAGGCGCUCGGCCGCCAGCAGGAAAACUCUGCCGCCAUCGGGAGCUUCCUGAGGCACCUGCGGCAGCGCUGCCUGCGGGGGGACGCGCUCCGGAGAGCGAGGAACAGCAGAGCGAGGAAGGACUUGGACGAGGAGGCAGCGCUUUUCUCGGAUUGAGAAAACAACUCCUGCUGGGCAGAGGAGCAAUGCACUCCAAGAUUCUUCAUACAGCUUAUUAUUAUUAAAAUUGUAUGUUUAGAAAUACAUAUUUUAUUAGUAGUGAAUGAAUUAGUUGUCGGAGAGGUACCAUAGAAAUUCUGUUUGCAAAAAUUGUUUGGCUGAAGCAGGUGAUUUUCUGACAGCUUGUUUGCAGAGAAUUAUGCUGUCCACUGUGUAGCAUCUACAUGCUGGGCUUACUUCUAGGAAAAUUUGCAGAGAAUUAUGCUGUCCACUGUGUAGCAGCUACACGCUGGGCUUACUUCUAGGAAAAGAAAACUGAGGAGUUAAAAUCUACUUCAUCUAGAGGAGUCAGGAUAUCCUUUCACUCCUCAUAGUGGAGCUUGAGCAAGAGAUCAAGUGAAUUCUGCUACCAGAAUAACCUUGUCUUGAUCUAAUAAAAACUUUCAACUUUAAAAGGCCGAGCUUUGCAAAUGAGAAUUUGAGACAUCAGCUAAAAUAAAUUUACAAUAUAAGUAAACCCAUAGGGACAUCUGGACUCAUUUCAUGGUUCUACAAAGAAGGAAGAGCAAGGAGCUGGAAUUGUGGAGGCACUUUGGGAACAGUGGACAGCGUGGACUAGGAGAAUAAAGUGUCUCACACAUACACAGCUGGUCCCCAGGACCGACAAUAGUGACCAUCGGAGAAGGUAUAAUGGAAAUGGGAUUUGUAUGCAGCUGUCCUUGAUCCUGGGGAGGCAGCUUCAAAAAAGAGUGUGUCACCUCCACAACAAAC
rnacentral:lncRNA from 12 species